GAUGAAGAACGUAGCGAAAUGCGAUAAGUAGUGUGAAUUGCAGAAUUCAGUGAAUCAUCGAAUCUUUGAACGCACAUUGCGCCCUUUGGGAUUCCUUAGGGCAUGCCUGUUCGAGCGUCAUUUAAACCUUCAAGCUAAGCUUGGUGUUGGGUGACUGUCCGCUUCACGGCGGACUCGCCUCAAAAUUAUUGGCGGCCGGUACAUUGGCUUCGAGCGCAGCAGAAACGCGAACUCGGGCCCGUCGUAUUGGCUCCCAGAAGCUAUCUUCACAAUUUUGACCUCGGAUCAGGUAGGGAUACCCGCUGAACUUAAGCAUAUCAAUAAGCGGAGGA
rnacentral:misc_RNA from 1 species